rnacentral:RNase_P_RNA from 1 species
UCUGCCGCUGGCGGAUUUUUAUGGUCUGCGAGAGGAAAGUCCGGGCAGCUUAGGGUGUCCCACUUGUGAAAAUGCAAGCUAUUGGCGACAGUAGGUUAAGGUAGAAGAAAACAACCGCCGGUGCCUUGGUGCAGGUAAGGGUGAGAAGGUGGUGUAAGAGACCACCAGCGGUCGGGUGAUCGGCCGGCUGUGCCGUCUGGGAGCUGCAAGUUCAUGUAAACCGCCGUCUGAGGGUUGCCCGCCCGAUUGACUUUGUCUUCGGCGGAGGGUAGAAUGCUUGAGCCGUGUGGUGACAUACGGAUUAGAUAAAUGGCAGACACCUUAUUAUAUAUAAGGCAACAGAACCCGGCUUAUAGGG